UCUCUGAUAGUAUAUCGGUUAGUACACGCGCCUGUCACCAGAUGGAACGUUGCUAGAUUCGCGCGAAAGCUGGGUUCGACUCCCAGUCAGAGAG